ACUUUAGGAGGGGCUUGCGCCAUAUUANGANNNGUAGGGUAAUGGCCUACCAAGACGAUGAUGUGUAGCAGGACUGAGAGGUUGAACAGCCACAUUGGGACUGAGACACGGCCCAAACUCCUACGGGAGGCAGCAGUAAGGAAUUUUCGGCAAUGGAGGAAACUCUGACCGAGCAACGCCGCGUGAACGACGAAGUACUUUGGUAUGUAAAGUUCUUUUAUCAAGGAAGAAAAGCAAGUGGCGAACCAUUUGUUUGCCGGUACUUGAUGAAUAAGCCCCGGCUAAUUAUGUGCCAGCAGCCGCGGUAAGACAUAAGGGGCAAGUGUUAUCCGGAAUUAUUGGGCGUAAAGGGUGCGUAGGCGGUCUAGUAAGUCAGUGGUGUAAUGGCAACGCUCAACGUUGUCCGGCUAUUGAAACUGCUAAACUUGAGUUAGAUAGAGGCGAGUGGAAUUCCAUGUGUAGCGGUAAAAUGCGUAAAUAUAUGGAGGAACACCAGAGGCGUAGGCGGCUCGCUGGGUCUUAACUGACGCUGAGGCACGAAAGCGUGGGGAGCAAACAGGAUUAGAUACCCUGGUAGUCCACGCCGUAAACGAUGAGUACUAAGUGUCGGGUUAAACCGGUACUGAAGUUAACACAUUAAGUACUCCGCCUGAGUAGUACGUACGCAAGUAUGAAACUUAAAGGAAUUGACGGGACUCCGCACAAGCGGUGGAUCAUGUUGUUUAAUUCGAAGAUACCCGAAAAACCUUACCAGGUCUUGACAUGUUUUUGCAAAACGUUAGUAAUAUCGUUAGAGGUUAUCAGAAACACAG
rnacentral:rRNA from 1 species